rnacentral:piRNA from 1 species
CUCACUCAAUGAAAAGACACG